GUGCAGCAGUCGAGAAAACUGGCCAAUGCGCGAAAGCGUGAGCCGGCUAAUCUGAGUGGUUCCCCAUCGGGAACCUUUUGCCAAGUGUACAAAAGCUUGGCGAAUAAGGAGAGGGCAAGACUGGUGCCAGCCGCCGCGGUAAAACCAGCUCUUCGAAUCGUGGGGCAUGAUUUAGUUUGGACUUAAAGUGUGCGUAGCAGGACAGGAUAAGUCUCCUGUGAAAUGCCA
rnacentral:rRNA from 1 species